rnacentral:rRNA from 1 species
CUAUACAUGCAGUCGAACGAGUUCUGAUUAUUGAAAGGUGCUUGCAUCUUGAUUUAAUUUUGAACGAGUGGCGGACGGGUGAGUAACACGUGGGUAACCUGCCCUUAAGUGGGGGAUAACAUUUGGAAACAGAUGCUAAUACCGCAUAAAUCCAAGAACCGCAUGGUUCUUGGCUGAAAGAUGGCGUAAGCUAUCGCUUUUGGAUGGACCCGCGGCGUAUUAGCUAGUUGGUGAGGUAACGGCUCACCAAGGCAAUGAUACGUAGCCGAACUGAGAGGUUGAUCGGCCACAUUGGGACUGAGACACGGCCCAAACUCCUACGGGAGGCAGCAGUAGGGAAUCUUCCACAAUGGACGCAAGUCUGAUGGAGCAACGCCGCGUGAGUGAAGAAGGCUUUCGGGUCGUAAAACUCUGUUGUUGGAGAAGAAUGGUCGGCAGAGUAACUGUUGUCGGCGUGACGGUAUCCAACCAGAAAGCCACGGCUAACUACGUGCCAGCAGCCGCGGUAAUACGUAGGUGGCAAGCGUUAUCCGGAUUUAUUGGGCGUAAAGCGAGCGCAGGCGGUUUUUUAAGUCUGAUGUGAAAGCCCUCGGCUUAACCGAGGAAGUGCAUCGGAAACUGGGAAACUUGAGUGCAGAAGAGGACAGUGGAACUCCAUGUGUAGCGGUGAAAUGCGUAGAUAUAUGGAAGAACACCAGUGGCGAAGGCGGCUGUCUGGUCUGUAACUGACGCUGAGGCUCGAAAGCAUGGGUAGCGAACAGGAUUAGAUACCCUGGUAGUCCAUGCCGUAAACGAUGAAUGCUAGGUGUUGGAGGGUUUCCGCCCUUCAGUGCCGCAGCUAACGCAUUAAGCAUUCCGCCUGGGGAGUACGACCGCAAGGUUGAAACUCAAAGGAAUUGACGGGGGCCCGCACAAGCGGUGGAGCAUGUGGUUUAAUUCGAAGCAACGCGAAGAACCUUACCAGGUCUUGACAUCUUUUGAUCACCUGAGAGAUCAGGUUUCCCCUUCGGGGGCAAAUGACAGGUGGUGCAUGGUUGUCGUCAGCUCGUGUCGUGAGAUGUUGGGUUAAGUCCCGCAACGAGCGCAACCCUUAUGACUAGUUGCCAGCAUUUA